UGAGGAAUAUUGGGCAAUGGAGGCAACUCUGACCCAGCCAUGCCGCGUGAGUGAUGAAGGUUUUCGGAUUGUAAAGCCCUUUCGGGUGUGACGAUGAUGACGGUAGCACCUAAAGAAGCCCCGGCUAACUUCGUGCCAGCAGCCGCGGUAAUACGAAGGGGGCGAGCGUUGUUCGGAAUUACUGGGCGUAAAGGGAGUGUAGGCGGUUAGGUAAGAUAGGGGUGAAAUCCCGGGGCUCAACCUCGGAAUUGCCUUUAUUACUAUCUAGCUAGAGUGAUAGAGAGGAUAGUGGAAUACCCAGUGUAGAGGUGAAAUUCGUAGAUAUUGGGUAGAACACCGGUGGCGAAGGCGACUAUCUGGCUAUCAACUGACGCUGAGGCUCGAAAGCAUGGGGAUCAAACAGG
rnacentral:rRNA from 1 species